GUGGGGAAUAUUGCACAAUGGGGGAAACCCUGAUGCAGCGACGCCGCGUGAAGGAAGAAGUAUCUCGGUAUGUAAACUUCUAUCAGCAGGGAAGAUAAUGACGGUACCUGACUAAGAAGCCCCGGCUAACUACGUGCCAGCAGCCGCGGUAAUACGUAGGGGGCAAGCGUUAUCCGGAUUUACUGGGUGUAAAGGGAGCGUAGACGGCGCAGCAAGUCUGAUGUGAAAGGCAGGGGCUUAACCCCUGGACUGCAUUGGAAACUGCUGUGCUUGAGUGCCGGAGGGGUAAGCGGAAUUCCUAGUGUAGCGGUGAAAUGCGUAGAUAUUAGGAGGAACACCAGUGGCGAAGGCGGCUUACUGGACGAUAACUGACGCUGAGGCUCGAAAGCGUGGGGAGCAAACAGGAUUAGAAACCCCGGUAGUCC
rnacentral:rRNA from 1 species